rnacentral:rRNA from 1 species
AGAACGAACGCUGGCGGCAUGCCUAACACAUGCAAGUCGAACGAGACCUUCGGGUCUAGUGGCGCACGGGUGCGUAACGCGUGGGAAUCUGCCCUUGGGUGCGGAAUAACAGUUGGAAACGACUGCUAAUACCGCAUAAUGACUCCGGUCCAAAGAUUUAUCGCCCAGGGAUGAGCCCGCGUAGGAUUAGCUAGUUGGUGAGGUAAAAGCUCACCAAGGCGACGAUCCUUAGCCGGUCUGAGAGGAUGAUCAGCCACACUGGGACUGAGACACGGCCCAGACUCCUACGGGAGGCAGCAGUGGGGAAUAUUGGACAAUGGGCGAAAGCCUGAUCCAGCAAUGCCGCGUGAGUGAUGAAGGCCUUAGGGUUGUAAAGCUCUUUUACCCGGGAUGAUAAUGACAGUACCGGGAGAAUAAGCCCGGCUAACUCCGUGCCAGCAGCCGC